GACGUAGGAGGCGAGCGUUGUCCGGAUUCAUUGGGCGUAAAGAGCACGCAGGCGGUUUGGCAGGUCGGAUGUGAAAACCCGGAGCUCAACUCCGGACCUGCAUCCGAAACUGCCCGACUAGAGGUAGGUAGGGGAGAUCGGAAUUCCUGGUGUAGCGGUGAAAUGCGCAGAUAUCAGGAGGAACACCGGUGGCGAAGGCGGAUCUCUGGGCCUUACCUGACGCUCAGGUGCGAAAGCUAGGGGAGCGAACAGG
rnacentral:rRNA from 1 species